rnacentral:rRNA from 1 species
UACGUAGGGGGCAAGCGUUGUUCGGAAUUACUGGGCGUAAAGGGCGCGUAGGCGGCAGGCCAAGUCGGGAGUGAAAGCCCGGGGCUCAACCCCGGAAUGUCUUUCGAAACUGGCCAGCUGGAGUGCGGAAGAGGCAACUGGAAUUCCCAGUGUAGCGGUGAAAUGCGUAGAUAUUGGGAAGAACACCUGAGGCGAAGGCGGGUUGCUGGGCGGACACUGACGCUGAGGCGCGAAAGCCAGGGGAGCAAACGGG